AAGCUGACUCUGCUGGCCCCCUUAAGCCCACCUAUAAGGGGUAGAAGCAGAGGAGCGAAGCCGCUCCACUUCGCUUCGCGGCCAGGCACUCCACCUAGCCAAGGAAUACCACCACAACACGUAGAAAAACCCACAGCACAAGCGUGACAAUGGGGAAACUACGCAGACCAACUUCAGCCAUAGAGAAUGAAGAUAGAAACUCUGAUGACGCAACAAUGGCCAACCACCUCCAAAGUCUUUCAGAAAUGGAGUUUAGAGAAGAAAUAUGGAGGUUGCUCACAGAACUCAAAGAAAGUAUAAAUCAAAACACUAAUAAAAAUCAAGAGAAUAUGAAGAUAGAAAUCAGAAAACUCCAAACUGAAAUAUCAGGUCAAAUAACAGGUCUGAAAAAUUCAGUAGAUGAA